rnacentral:rRNA from 1 species
UACGGAGGGUGCAAGCGUUAAUCGGAAUUACUGGGCGUAAAGCGAGUGUAGGCGGCUGCAUAAGUCGGAUGUGAAAUCCCCGGGCUUAACCUGGGAAUGGCAUUCGAUACUGUGCGGCUAGAGUCUGAUAGAGGGAAGUGGAAUUCCAGGUGUAGCGGUGAAAUGCGUAGAUAUCUGGAAGAACAUCAGUGGCGAAGGCGGCUUCCUGGAUCAAGACUGACGCUGAGGCUCGAAAGCGUGGGGAUCAAACAGG